UCUACGGGAGGCAGCAGGCGCGCAAAUUACCCAAUCCUAAUUCAGGGAGGUAGUGACAAUAAAUAACGAUACAGGGCCCAUUUGGGUCUUGUAAUUGGAAUGAGUACAAUGUAAAUACCUUAACGAGGAACAAUUGGAGGGCAAGUCUGGUGCCAGCAGCCGCGGUAAUA
rnacentral:rRNA from 1 species